rnacentral:rRNA from 1 species
AUCACGUGGAUGANUUCUGGCGGCAUAUUUAACACAUGACAACUCGAACGAGGUAGAGCUUGCUCUACUUAGUGGCAAACGGGUGAGUAACGCACGGGAAUCUGCCUUUAGGUAAGGAAUAACCAAGGGAAACUUUGGCUAAUACCUUAUAAUAUGAGUAAUCAUCAAAGAUUUAUCGCCUAAAGAGGAGCCCGUGUCAGAUUAGGUUGUUGGUGGGGUAAAGGCCUACCAAGCCUGUGAUCUGUAGCUGGUCUGAGAGGACNAUCAGCCACACUGGGACUUAGACACGGCCCAGACUCCUACGGGAGGCAGC